rnacentral:ncRNA from 1 species
CGGUGAAUACGUUCCCGGGCCUUGUACACACCGCCCGUCACACCAUGAGAGCCGGGAACACCCGAAGUCCGUAGUCUAACCGCAAGGAGGACGCGGCCGAAGGUGGGUUUGGUAAUUGGGGUGAAGUCGUAACAAGGUAGCCGUUCGAGAACGAGCGGCUGGAUCACCUCCUUU